rnacentral:ncRNA from 2 species
UAACUCCGGAGAGGCCAAAAUCGGCGCCGAAGGUGUAACCCGCGGGCAACCGCGGCUAUCUCUCAGGCAAAAGGACGGAGCGG